rnacentral:tRNA from 1 species
GGAGAGAUGGCCGAGUGGCUGAAGGCGCGCCCCUGCUAAGGGCGUAAGGGCGAAAGCUCUUCGAGGGUUCGAAUCCCUCUCUCUCCG